rnacentral:rRNA from 1 species
AUGAACGCUGGCGGCGUGCUUAACACAUGCAAGUCGAACGGAGCACCCUGAUUGAAGCUUCGGCAGAUUGAUGGAAUGCUUAGUGGCGGACUGGUGCGUAACACGUGAGUAACCUGCCUCGGAGUGUGGAAUAACACAGCGAAAGUUGUGCUAAUACCGCAUGAUGUAUAAGAGUCGCAUGUCUUUUAUACCAAAGAUUUAUUGCACACAGAUGGAUUCGCGUCCGAUUAGAUAGUUGGUGAGGUAACGGCCUACCAAGUCUGCGAUCGGUAGCCGGACUGAGAGGUUGAACGGCCACAUUGGAACUGAGAUACGGUCCAGACUCCUACGGGAGGCAGCAGUGGGGAAUAUUGGGCAAUGGGCGAAAGCCUGACCCAGCGACGCCGCGUGAGGGAAGAAGGUCUUCGGAUUGUAAACCUUAGUCAACAGGGAAGAAGAAAGUGACGGUACCUGUGGAGGAAGCCACGGCUAACUACGUG